rnacentral:rRNA from 1 species
GUUAGGAAUAUUGGACAAUGGGCGCAAGCCUGAUCCAGCCAUGCCGCGUGAGUGAUGAAGGCCUUCGGGUUGUAAAGCUCUUUAGCCGAUGAUUAUAAUGACUGUAGUCGGUAAAUAAGCCCCGGCUAACUUCGUGCCAGCAGCCGCGGUAAUACGAAGGGGGCGAGCGUUAUUCGGAAUCACUGGGCGUAAAGCGUGCGUAGGCGGCUUUGCAAGUUGGGAGUGAAAGCCCAGGGCUCAACCCUGGAAUUGCUCUCAAAACUGCAAGGCUCGAAUUCGGGAGAGGAUAGCGGAAUUGUCAGUGUAGCAGUGAAAUGCGUAGAUAUUGACAGGAACACCAGUGGCGUAAGCGGCUAUCUGGACCGAUAUUGACGCUGAGGCACGAAAGCGUGGGGAUCAAACAGGAUUAGAUACCCGAGUAGUCC